GCCAUCAUGGUGUAGUGGUCUGAGUGCUGGACUCCAACUCUGGAGUCGAGGGUUUGAAUUCCAGUGAUGUUC